rnacentral:lncRNA from 1 species
UAGGGGUAUAGAGAUGAAAAGAUCCUAUGUUUCAAAAUUGUAAAUAAAACUGUAAUAGCGAAGAUUGUAUUUGGAAGUUUAAUGUAAAGAGAAUGGUGAUGUAAAAGUGUAAGAAUGUGAAUGCGUAUAAUAAUUUAGGAUGUGUUAUGUUGUUGAUACCUCCUUUAUGCAAUCAGUGUUUGAAUACAGUUCCUGUUUGGAA